rnacentral:rRNA from 2 species
AGUCGAACGGGAUUUAGUAGACAGAAGCUUCGGUGGAAGAUUACUAAUGAGAGUGGCGAACGGGUGAGUAACGCGUGAGCAACCUGCCUAUGACAGUGGGAUAGCCUCGGGAAACCGGGAUUAAUACCGCAUAAAAUCGUAGAAACACAUGUUUUAACGGUCAAAGAUUUAUCGGUCAUAGAUGGGCUCGCGUCUGAUUAGCUAGUUGGUGAGAUAACAGCCCACCAAGGCGACGAUCAGUAGCCGGUCUGAGAGGAUGAACGGCCACAUUGGAACUGAGACACGGUCCAAACUCCUACGGGAGGCAGCAGUGGGGAAUAUUGCACAAUGGGGGAAACCCUGAUGCAGCGACGCCGCGUGAACGAAGAAGGUAUUCGUAUCGUAAAGUUCUGUCCUAUGGGAAGAUAAUGACAGUACCAUAGAAGAAAGCUCCGGCUAAAUACGUGCCAGCAGCCGCGGUAAUACGUAUGGAGCGAGCGUUGUCCGGAAUUAUUGGGCGUAAAGGGUACGCAGGCGGUUUAAUAAGUCGAAUGUUAAAGAUCGGGGCUCAACCCCGUAAAGCAUUGGAAACUGAUAAACUUGAGUAGUGGAGAGGAAAGUGGAAUUCCUAGUGUAGUGGUGAAAUACGUAGAUAUUAGGAGGAAUACCAGUAGCGAAGGCGACUUUCUG